GUGUAUCGCGUGUGUGUGUGGUUCCUAAGCACGCGCAAAGAAAAGCGCGAAUAAACUUUGGAACGGGGCCAUGGCUCGCAUGGACGACUUUGCUGAAAGAGUCGCUUCACUUUGCUACUUGGUAUACGAUGGCCUUCCAAAAACAGGAAAGCCUUCCAGAGAUUGCGAGUGGACGCUGCUGUCUGCGUUGUUAUUGCAGAACGUCAACCAAGAUACAUUACAGAUUGUGUCAUUUGCAACUGGUACAAAAAGCAUACCCACAGAGCAUGCUUCCAAACUUGGCAGCCAGAUAAUCGACAGUCAUGCGGAAGUGUUAGCCCGGAGGUGCUUUCUCAGGUUUGUGUACUCUGAACUUCUGAAGUUGGCUCGUGGGGAAGAUUCAUCUGUUUUCGAAACUACAGACUCAUCUGUAUUUGAAUGUCGAUUGAAACCAGGAUUGAAGAUUCACCUCUUCUCAAGUCAUACUCCAUGUGGUGAUGCUUCCAUUUUUCCAAAAAGUGGAGAUGAAUCAUCUGCAGACACAGUUGAAAAUGUAGAAUAUGGUGAAACAGCUUCAAAACGACCCAGAUUGGACCCUGAUAUAUAUAGGACUGGUGCCAAGUGUGUGCCAGGUGUGGCCCAGGACAAGAAACUGCCUGGUGCAGACUACCACCAACUGGGUGUGACUCGAACCAAGCCUGGCAGGGGUGAUAAAUCUCUCUCCAUGUCAUGUAGUGAUAAAAUGGCCAAAUGGCGUUGCUGUGGCCUUGAGGGGGCACUGCUAUCCCAUUUUAUGGCAAGCAAUAAACCGCUGCGUCUGUCCUCUGUGAUUGUUGCAGGGUGUCCGUACAGUGAAGAUGCAAUGCGACGAGCACUUGAUGAGAGGCUGUCAGUUUCAGAUGAGGUUCCAGCCCUUGAGUUUCACUACAGUAUGAAGAUGUUUUGCCAUUCCCGCCUUAAGGCAGUUAAAAACAAUGCCGAUACUGCCAUUCCAUGUGCUUCAAGUGUUAUGUGGUGGCUGGGAUCGGACAAGCCAGUAUAUGUAGGAGUGAACGGCUACAAGCAAGGAGUCACUCGCAAGAACCUUUGCAAACCAAUGGCUAGGUUACCAGUUUGUAGGAGCGAACUGUUUAAGCUGUUCCACAAGCUGAAGCAUCAAAUCUCACCAGGAAAUCUACCCGAGACUCUCAGGUCAGCCACAGUGUUGAAAAUGUCACCAAGUUGAAAAUGUACAUUCAUGGACCAAUCAUAAGGCACAAUAUUUUUGCGAGCUUGAGAAUGCUACCUUGGGCUGAUAAUUAUGUCAAAGAUGGCUUAGGCUUAAAAUUAGAUCUGCUCAACGGACUCAAGUUUUGA
rnacentral:misc_RNA from 1 species